CGACGCUAUUUAAACAAUGACUUUAAAUGAGACACAGAUAUAAAAUAAAUCUUUUAAAUAUAUAAUCGCACCCAAUAUUUAAUGUUUUUGUUUUCAUUUUUUUAUUUUUUUUUUAUUUCCAGUACCAAUACUUUGUAAAAUAGAAAUGAAAUAUACAAUACUGAAUUCGACAAAAGCCAAUUCUCCCAUUGUAAGCGGCAGCCAUUUUGUGCAAUCGUGGAUUUCCUGUGCAAGUCCGCUAGAAGUUACUUUAAACCUUUCAACGCUCAAGGGUUGUGCACGAGCCUCUGACAAAAGCAAGUAAAAUAGCGCAAGAGAUUUGAAGGAUGUGUUAAGAGUCCAGUAAGCAGUAUACAUGUAUAUACACAUACGCACAUAGCCCUCAACAAACCAUUAUAAAGGGCUCGUGGUACAGGUUCGAGAGUAACACACAGGGUUGGAAUUAAUGCAGCGCAUGUAUGUAAGGUCACAGGUUGAUAUGGAAUUAGUAAAUCUCAAGCACUUAUAGAAAUGAAAUAAAUAUCUAGUGAGCUUUUUAGAGAAACAAAAUCCUUAUUUCUUCCUUUUGGUAUUUUUAACGCUUUACAGUGUAAAUACCCUGCCUCCAUCUACUACCAAGUGCAUGGAGAGCCAUCUGAACCUUGAUUGGACCUUAGGAUGGAACGUUUCUUAUAUUUAGAAUCAAAUCCCUCUGUCCCUCUUUUUUAGGAGCUCCAUGUUGUUGGUGUGUCUGAGUGUAUAACAGAGCUCCACAGCAAUAAUAUUCCCAGUAAUGUGUCUGAGUGUAUAACAGAGCUCCACAGCAAUAAUACUCCCAGUAAUGUGUCUGAGUGUAUAACAGAGCUCCACAGCAAUAAUACUCCCAGUAAUGUGUCUUUAAAAUACAAUACAUUUGUUUAGAAAUCAGUCUGUGUAAAUAAGACCCAUUGUUCUUCUUCUUAGUUGUAUACAUUUUUAUUAGUAAGUCACCUAAAAUUUCUUAGAACAGUCGCCCCUGGCCACACCCCUAAAGUGAAAGGGUCCCUCAUCGUCCAUUAGAAAUGUUGGGACGUACGACGUCGUUUGCCUCGAGAAUAUUUGUAGCAUGGAAUGCUAAUCUCUGGCCGCAAUAAUUUGCUUUAUGUCUGCCUAAAUGCUAAAAGUGAAUUAAAUGACAGGUAUAGGUUGACCUAGAUGUGCAUCACACGCUCAGUGUUUUUAAUAAAACAUUUUUUUUGUAAGGUUUUAAUGUGCCUUAAAUUAAAUCUCAGCAUUGUUUCUGAAGCGACGCUUGGAGCUUGUUUAUAUAGUAUAUAUUUGAUUCCGCAGUUCACAAAAAGCACCUCUGUCCUCACAAUAAUUAGGAAUAUCGAUUUCAAAAGUGCUAGAAUUUUUCUUAAUGUAUAAUAAUACAUACAAUUUUUGAAGAACUCUUUUAGGUUCGUAAAAAAAACAAAAAACAUACGUGUCAUAAAACACAAUGGAAACCGCACGCGGCUUGACUUUUCAGACGUAAUUCUUGAAUUUUAGCAUUUUAAAACAGAGAAAAUUACAGACAUCUGGAAAACCGCUAAUCCAUGAAGCCAUUUUUACCUCAUUCAGAACUUGUGAUAAAAUGCCAAAUUGUGCCAUCUGUCCAGCUAAACCAGAGACCUCAAUCGCGCAGUGUUACAACACACUUCACAUGCACAAAGGUUGAAAUUAAAAUAGAAAUUGUAUUCACUCAGGGCUCAUUUUCAUUAUUGCCAUUAACUACCUAUGGUAAGCUGUUAUAAUGAACAGUUGAUAAAUAUCUAAAGCCAGAAAAUAGCAGCUGGUUUCCAACCGAUGAUCUGUCCCCGAUGAUACCGUCUGCACCUUAACACCAUAGCAAACUCAACUGGAUCACGUCUACUAAAGUGGGAUUUUGUACUAGGCUGGGUACACGUAUGUGGGAUUUUGUACUAAGCUGGGUACAUGUAUGUGGGAUUUUGUACUAAGCUGGGUACAUGUAUGUGGGAUUUUGUACUAAGCUGGGUACAUGUAUGUGGGAUUUUGUACUAGGCUGGGUACAUGUAUGUGGGAUAUUGUACUAGGCUGGGUACAUGUAUGUGGGAUUUUGUACUAAGCUGGGUACAUGUAUGUGGGAUUUUGUACUACGCUGGGUACAUGUAUGUGGGAUAUUGUACUAGGCUGGGUACACGUCUGUGGGAUAUUGUACUAGGCUGGGUACACGUAUGUGGGAUAUUGUACUAGGCUGGGUACACGUAUGUGGGAUAUUGUACUAGGCUGGGUACACGUAUGUGGGAUUUUGUACUAGGCUGGGUACACGUAUGUGGGAUUUUGUACUAAGCUGGGUACAUGUAUGUGGGAUAUUGUACUAAGCUUGGUACAUGUAUGUGGGAUAUUGUACUAGGCUGGGUACACGUCUGUGGGAUAUUGUACUAGGCUGGGUACACGUAUGUGGGAUAUUGUACUAGGCUGGGUACAUGUAUGUGGGAUAUUGUACUAGGCUGGGUACAUGUAUGUGGGAUUUUGUACUACGCUGGGUACCCGUCUGUGGGAUUUUGUACUAUGCUGGGUACACGUCUGUGGGAUUUUGUACUAGGCUGGGUACACGGCUGUGGGAUUUUGUACUAUGCUGGGUACAUGUAUGUGGGAUAUUGUACUAAGCUUGAUACAUGUAUGUGGGAUAUUGUACUAAGCUUGGUACAUGUAUGUGGGAUAUUGUACUAGGCUGGGUACACGUCUGUGGGAUUUUGUACUAGGCUGGGUACACGUAUGUGGGAUAUUGUACUAGGCUGGGUACACGUAUGUGGGAUAUUGUACUAGGCUGGGUACAUGUAUGUGGGAUAUUGUACAAGGCUGGGUACAUGUAUGUGGGAUAUUGUACAAGGCUGGGUACAUGUAUGUGGGAUAUUGUACUACGCCGGGUACACGUCUGUGGGAUUUUGUACUAGGCUGGGUACACGGCUGUGGGAUUUUGUACUACGCUGGGGACAUGCAUGUGGGAUAUUGUACUACGCUGGGGACAUGCAUGUGGGAUAUUGUACUAGGCUGGGUACAUGUAUGUGUGAUUUUGUGCUAUGCUGGGUACAUGUCUGUGUGAUGGCCCUCUUUUUAUAUGAAUUUUACGUUUGAAUGGCAUGCACAUUACUUACAUCUCACCCUCUGUAGUCUCUGGUGUCUGGCAUUUUGCUUUCUGAUGGCUGAUGCUCUUUGACUUUAAAUGUAAUGCCAUGUAUAUGAAGAUUUUUCCUAUAUGAUGUAUUAAGCAUCUGUAGUGGUUGUCUUGACCCUAGUGGAGUCAGGUUUUAAUUUCGGUGCGAUAUCGCAGCUGGUGGAAUCUAGCGCCUGGCCUCGAAAUGAGUCACAAGUAGCAGUUUUUUCUAAUUUCCGUAGCGCUGUACAUUGGGAUCACCUCCUAUUAUUCUCUACGGUAAUUACAAGUCACAACUGGUAAGUCUUUGUAUUAUUGAAAGAGCCGCUAUUUACCAACGUUACAGACAGCCUAUUUAUUAACGGCUUGUCGCUAAAAACUGACAACGCUGGAAAUGAGCCCUACAUUGGGAAUAGUGGAGACAUGAUAUGCAGAUUGUAUAUUUUAGGUAAAACUAGGAAAACUUGCAGGAAUUGGAGAAAUUCUACAACUCCGCUAUUCUGGUCUAAAUCUGUAAAUGCCUUGCCAAUUCCCCACGAGUCUCAGGUUAGCUGUUAAAGCCUGAUGGUAUUAGCAAGACAUAUUGAUGAAAUGAUGGUUUAUAAACUAAAAGGUGAAUUGUAAGAAACUGGAAACAAAUCGCAAAAUGUAGGUAAAAAUAAAAAUAACCAAUUUGGUUAUUCACCAGAAACACCAGUCCACCCACCAGCUCGGAUAUAGUGAAACAUACAUUAAACCAGAACCUGGAUGGGAGAAUCGAGCACAAUAAGACUAGCAGACAAAUCCAGUAAAUAAAAAGCAGUGCUAAAAAGAAGCAGAGGCUCAACAGCUUUUCUUAAACUACAAAUCUCAUGCCAUUGUUUAAAGGGACAUUACAGUUUAUUGAAUUUGUUCUGGUGAGUAGAAUCAUUCCCUUCAGGCUUUUUGCUGUAAACACUGUCUUUUCAGAGAAAAUGCAGUGUUUACAUUGCAGCCUAGUGAUAACUUCACUGGCCACUCCUCAGAUGGCUGUUAGAGGUGCUUCCUGGGGCAGUGCUGCAAAGAGUGACUGACAUUCAGUGUCUCCACCCUCUGCAUGGAGACACUGAACUUUCCUCAUAGAGAUGCAUUAAUUCAAUGUAUCGCUAUGAGAAAAUGCUGAUUGGCCAGGGCUGUGUUUGGCUUGUGUUGGCUCUGCCCCUGAUCUGCCUUCUUGACAUUCUCAGCCAAUCCAAUGCUUUCCUAUGGAAAAGCAUUGUGAUUGGCCGAGAUCAAAACUUCUAGUAAUGUAAGCCAAGGACGCAGAUUAGGGGCAGAGCCAGCAGCAGCAGACUUAAAUAAAAGUAAGAUUUUACUAUAUUUGGGGGAGAAAUUAAUGCAUGUUUGUGUUCCUUUAAAUGUUGUAACCGACUAAUACCUGUAAUACCAGGUAACGUAAACACCCAAUCUUCAUUGGCAUACUGCACCCCACUCAAAGUUACUCACUCUUCAUUACGACAUUUGUGAUCAUAAAUUCUACCACAUUUUCCUUAACACACAUCAAAUGGCAAACGGAACUGGAAUUCAGAGAUUAAGCAGCUCCUAGAUUUCAUAAACAGCGAAUGAAGUUAUAUAUGAUUAUAGAUAUUAAAGGAUCACUAUAGGGUCAGGAACACAAACAUGUAUUCCUGACCCUAUA
rnacentral:lncRNA from 1 species